UGCUAAUUGUAAAGAAGCUUGGAGUCAUAAUAUAUUUAAACGUUAUAUGUUUGCUGUUCUUCAUCUUUUUAAAUAUGAAGUCUAUACAUGUUUGUGUUUACAGAGGUCAUGUACACUGUGGUCAACUUUGUGGACGAUGAAGAGGUUUCUGGGUAAAGCUGAUAGAAAUAUAAUGAAGUAACAGUGAAAGCUAAAACAUCAGACUGAUCCAGACACUGAAGAAAUUGAUGUCACUGCAAUCUGGCCAAAAUGAUACAACUAUAUUGAAGUAACCUACUGUAAUGAAGCUGCAGAACAACACAGAGACUCUGAGGACAUCAACACAGAAAAUUAAGGCUCCAAAGAGAUGUCUGUCCAGAUGAGGGUGCAUCAACGUUACCUUUGCUGACAAGUAUAUGCUUUACAAUGUAAAACCUAACAGUUAACUUAACUCAAACCAUUUAAGGAAAUCGGUUGCCUUAACCCAUUAAGUUUAAAAAAAACAUACAUUUGAGUACUGUGAACUUAAGUCUUGUGCAAUAAUGCACUUAUAUUUAGUUAGUGUGAACUUAAAUAUAAGUGCAUAACUGCAUGUGACUCAAUUUGUUUAAGUUCACAGUACUCAAAUCUAUGUGUUUUAAAACUUAAAUGGUUUAAUGCAACCGGUUUUCUUAAAUGGUUUGAGUUUAGUUAACUUUUAGGUUUUACAGUGAGAAAUUCUUGAAUAAUUCCAAGACAGAGCUCUGCAAUUGAAUCAACACUGCAAAAAAUCA